AUUGAACGCUGGCGGCAGGCCUAACACAUGCAAGUCGAGCGGAUGACGGGAGCUUGCUCCUUGAUUCAGCGGCGGACGGGUGAGUAAUGCCUAGGAAUCUGCCUGGUAGUGGGGGACAACGUUUCGAAAGGAACGCUAAUACCGCAUACGUCCUACGGGAGAAAGCAGGGGCCCUCCGGGCCUUGCGCUCUCAGAUGAGCCUAGGUCGGAUUAGCUAGUUGGUGGGGUAAUGGCUCACCAAGGCGACGAUCCGUAACUGGUCUGAGAGGAUGAUCAGUCACACUGGAACUGAGACACGGUCCAGACUCCUACGGGAGGCAGCAGUGGGGAAUAUUGGACAAUGGGCGAAAGCCUGAUCCAGCCAUGCCGCGUGUGUGAAGAAGGUCUUCGGAUUGUAAAGCACUUUAAGUUGGGAGGAAGGGCAGUAAGUUAAUACCUUGCUGUUUUGGCGUUACCGACAGAAUAAGCACCGGCUAACUCUGUGCCAGCAGCCGCCGUAAGAC
rnacentral:rRNA from 1 species